AGAGUUUGAUCCUGGCUCAGAACGAACGCUGGCGGCAUGCCUAACACAUGCAAGUCGAACGGGAUCCAGGCUUCGGCCUGGUGAGAGUGGCGGACGGGUGAGUAACACGUGGGAACCUGCCUUUGGUUCGGGAUAACCGCGGGAAACUGCGGCUAAUACCGGAUGCUCCCGAGAGGGGAAAGAUUUAUCGCCAGAAGAGGGGCCCGCGUCCGAUUAGGUAGUUGGUGAGGUAAUGGCUCACCAAGCCGACGAUCGGUAGCUGGUCUGAGAGGAUGAUCAGCCACACUGGGACUGAGACACGGUCCAGACUCCUACGGGAGGCAGCAGUGGGGAAUAUUGGACAAUGGGCGCAAGCCUGAUCCAGCCAUGCCGCGUGUGUGAAGAAGGCCUUCGGGUUGUAAAGCACUUUUGUUCGGGAAGAAAAGCUACCGGUUAAUACCCGGGAGUCAUGACGGUACCGAAAGAAUAAGCACCGGCUAACUUCGUG
rnacentral:rRNA from 1 species